rnacentral:rRNA from 1 species
AUGCAGUCGAGCGGACAGAAGGGAGCUUGCUCCCGGAUGUUAGCGGCGGACGGGUGAGUAACACGUGGGUAACCUGCCUGUAAGACUGGGAUAACUCCGGGAAACCGGAGCUAAUACCGGAUAGUUCCUUGAACCGCAUGGUUCAAGGAUGAAAGACGGUUUCGGCUGUCACUUACAGAUGGACCCGCGGCGCAUUAGCUAGUUGGUGGGGUAAUGGCUCACCAAGGCGACGAUGCGUAGCCGACCUGAGAGGGUGAUCGGCCACACUGGGACUGAGACACGGCCCAGACUCCUACGGGAGGCAGCAGUAGGGAAUCUUCCGCAAUGGACGAAAGUCUGACGGAGCAACGCCGCGUGAGUGAUGAAGGUUUUCGGAUCGUAAAGCUCUGUUGUUAGGGAAGAACAAGUGCGAGAGUAACUGCUCGCACCUUGACGGUACCUAACCAGAAAGCCACGGCUAACUACGUGCCAGCAGCCGCGGUAAUACGUAGGUGGCAAGCGUUGUCCGGAAUUAUUGGGCGUAAAGGGCUCGCAGGCGGUUUCUUAAGUCUGAUGUGAAAGCCCCCGGCUCAACCGGGGAGGGUCAUUGGAAACUGGGAAACUUGAGUGCAGAAGAGGAGAGUGGAAUUCCACGUGUAGCGGUGAAAUGCGUACAGAUGUGGAGGAACACCAGUGGCGAAGGCGACUCUCUGGUCUGUAACUGACGCUGAGGAGCGAAAGCGUGGGGAGCGAACAGGAUUAGAUACCCUGGUAGUCCACUCCGCACACGAUGAGUGCUAACUGUCAGGGUGUUCCCUUCCCUUACCGUUUCCUCCUA